rnacentral:lncRNA from 1 species
GCGGCGGCGGCGGCGGCGGGCGGAUCGCUUCAGCCCGGGGCGCCGGGUCUCUGCGUGCAGCGGCCCAGGGCCUUCCCAGUGGGGGAGUGGGGACCCCAAGGCUGGUGGACUCGCACACACCUGGCAGAAGGGAAAGCCUGGAGCGAAUCCACGUCCAAAUCCUAAUGCUACUCUGGUCAUCGUACCUUGAUUAUUAUUUGCAUCCUGCGUUGGAAGUAAUGCCCGAAUCUAGUGUGCUGUGUGCUUCGUGACACAGAAACAGUAAAGAUGAAGAAUUAAGUAAAGAAUGGCCGACUCUCUACCCUUGGAUUCCCGCGGUAAACCUGCAGGUGGACUGCACGGGUAAGAGAACAUCCAACUGCAGGAGGACCACUCAAGACGGAGUCUCAAGCAAGACGGAGAGAAGUCGGCAGGUCUGCACGCAAUGGAAAGAUGAAGAAGAAUCGGACCUCCUGCCUUAAUGAUUAACUGAGAUUGUUUCCUCCUUUUCCCUUUAAAAAUUGUCCUGGCUUAGCAGCAUCUUUGGAGUUGGUCUCUGGACAGGAGUCCACCAUCUCCCCAGAUUGCAGGCUUGUCUGAAUAAAGCUUUCUUCUCUUCUGAAGCUUGCCUCUCGAUUUAUUGGCUGUUGAGUGGUGAGUGGCCGAAACUGCGUUAGUCUACACUGUGUUUGCUUCUCUGUUGCAGACCUACUUUCUAUCUGCCUUAAUAUGAUGUGCUCGUAAAUGUUAACAGCUGGCUCUCGCUGGGAUGGAGAACAGUUUGUAGCACUUGCUGAUCUCUGUGGUGUAAAUAGUCCCAGCACUGCCAAUUUCAAGCUACCAACCUGACAUCACUGCAUCCAGAAUUAGGAAGUCAUAUGUGCAAUGGGCUGUCAGGAGCACGUACAAGCCAAACUGAGACUUAAUUACAACUCUGGCUUUCCCGGACAUGGAAUCGUAAACCAGUCAACCAAGAACCACCUGAUCAGCAUAAAUUAGGUCAUCUGCCUGAUAGACCCUGCCAUUCCCUAAAGGGAAGUAAUCUUGUGAAAACCAACCCACUCUUUUGCCUCGUACAACUUACCUGUUCCUGCUCCCCUCUGGCUAUACAAGCCUUUUAUUUUGUACAGCUCCUCAGAGUCCUUUCUAGCUGCCAGACUGGAUGCUGUCCGAUUCAAACUGAUUUCUACUCAAAUAAACUCAAAAAAUUUUU